rnacentral:rRNA from 1 species
CUUGAAUAAAAUAAGAGGUCCAGCCUGCCCAGUGAAAUUAUUCAACGGCCGCGGUAUCCUAACCGUGCGAAGGUAGCGUAAUCACUUGUUCUUUAAAUGAGGACUAGUAUGAAUGGCACCACGAGGGUUCUACUGUCUCCUUUUUUUAAUCAGUAAAACUAAUCUCCCCGUGAAGAAGCGGGGAUCUUUAUAUAAGACGAGAAGACCCUAUGGAGCUUUAAACAACCGACAUUUGCUACACCAUAACAUUACCCCAAAAAGAAGUAUAGCAUUAUGAUUAUUAGUUUUCGAUUGGGGUGAUCACGGAGUAAAAUAUAACCUCCAUGCCGAAAGAGUUCUUACCCUGAGCAAAAAGCCACAGCUUUAAGCACUAAAAAAUUAACGCAGUUUGACCCAAUAUUUUGAUCAACGAAC